UACGUAGGGGGCAAGCGUUGUCCGGAAUCAUUGGGCGUAAAGCGCGCGUAGGCGGCCAGAUAAGUCCGGUGUGAAAGCCACAGGCUCAACCUGUGAAUGCCGCUGGAAACUGUCUGGCUUGAGUCCGGAAGGGGCGAGUGGAAUUCCUGGUGUAGCGGUGAAAUGCGCAGAUAUCAGGAGGAACACCAAUGGCGAAGGCAGCUCGCUGGAACGGUACUGACGCUGAGGCGCGAAAGCGUGGGGAGCGAACAGG
rnacentral:rRNA from 1 species